rnacentral:rRNA from 1 species
GACGAACCGUGCGAACGUUAUUCGGAAUCACUGGGCUUAAAGCGCGUGUAGGCGGCCCGGCACGUCAUCGGCUGAAAUCCCCCGGCUCAACCGGGGAAGGGACCAUGAUACGACCGGGCUGGAGGCCGGUAGGGGGCGCCGGAACUCACGGUGGAGCGGUGAAAUGCGUUGAGAUCGUGAGGAACGCCCGUGGCGAAAGCGGGCGCCUGGACCGGGCCUGACGCUGAGGCACGAAAGCUGGGGGAGCGAACAGG